rnacentral:lncRNA from 1 species
GCAAAGGAAGGUAUUGAAUCAUAAAAGAGCCAUUUCUAUUUAAAGUAUUCUCCAUUCAUACAUGUAAUUAUUAUAAUUGUCAUUUACAUGAUCCAUACAAAAAAAUUAUAAUUUUUACAUGAGUUGAUUUUUGGUUAACCAACCUAUUUUUUUAUGACCUAAACCCUAAUGCUAAUUACAUAUUCAUCCUUUCAUUAUUCCAUGAGAUCCCAUGAUAAUUUUAUUCAUGAACAAGAGACUUGACUUUUGCAACAAGUUUGAUUUUGGUCAUGCCUUGAAUGCAUUUUCCGCACCUUGUAAAUUUGCAUAGAACCUUGUCUUGAAGUCAUGUUUAUGCAUGCCCUACAAUUCACACUCAUCAACAAUCAAAGCAUAGCAUCAUCACCAAAAUAGUUCAAACAUUUAAAGUGACCAAAACCUCACAUUGUAGAUGAAAACCUGCAACAAGUUUCAUGCACAUUAAGCCUACACCAAAGCAUCCAAACAGUAGCGAUAUAACCUAAUCAUGCACUUAAACAACUCAAAAUCCACAACUAUCAUGCGACGGGGCACGAUCUGAGACCGAGCAUCAUCCUCACAACCUCUUUCAUAUGUUACAAUUCACAUCCAUAAUCUAAGAAGAAAGAAGAAGAAGAACAUGAUCUGAGAAGAAAUAAGAAGAAGGACAAAAAGGUGCAUAAGAGAGAAGAAGAAAUUUUACCUGACUUCGGUGCCGCCGGUGAGAUGCAACCUCUAAUACCGUUUGCUUCAUUCUUGAUCUCAAGAUGAAGGUUUCAUUGCAAGGAAACUAAGCCCUCAUAUUUGAGAUGUUGAUUCAAGGUCUUGAGAGUUUAAUUUCUUGAUUUACCGGUUAGGGUUCUUAGAUUGUUUCGCUCGAUUGGAGUAAACCAGAGAGAUUUAGGUUGUUUCAUGGUUAUUUUCAGACUCAGGGCAUGGAGAGGGUUCAGAUAGGUCCCUUAUUUGGUGUUUAGGUUCGCCUCCGCCACUGAAAACGGUUGCCGGCGCGACGGAGGGGAUAACGUUGGGGUGGUUUUUUUUGACUAAGGCAGAGAGAAGAUGCUUCAUCCUUAUUCCAUUGGUUUAAAUCAUUUGUCACAUGCCCAAAAUAGCCAAUGCCGCUUCACUGCCUUUGACCAGUUUGAAUCCAUGCCAUCAAUGCCAGCUGUAAAUUCCUUAUUAUCCGUUGCACAGUAACUGCAAAUGACAGUCCCCACAUGCGUUGGAACUUGGAAGCUUCAUCUUGCUGACCUUUGACCUUUCAUGUGGC